GGACCUAGAGGGGAACCUUAGCCCUCCGAAGGCAGAGGCCGCAGGUUCGAAUCCUGCCGGGUGCACCA
rnacentral:tRNA from 1 species